rnacentral:lncRNA from 1 species
UAUUUCUCAUCCUUCCAGAUCUCCCUACUCACACAACUUCACGUUCUUUCUCUAUGUCUCUGUCUCUUUCUCAACAGCAAAAAUGGAAACAAUGGAAUGUCAUUAGGGCAGCCCCCAUGUCUAGGAGUGGUUGGCCAAACACCAACACAUCCCAUGGCUUUUGUCUGGGCAUGUGCUUUUUGUUUGGGUUUCGGGGGUUUUGCUGGUGGUGGUGGUUUUGUUGAGGGAUGGUUUGCUUUUCGUUUUCAUCUUAUGGGUUGGUUGUUGAGGUCUCACAUGUCCAAUGAUCUCUUGGUGGCACCCACGCUGUCGGUGCAGGUGCAGAACUGAGCACGUCGCAUGCACAUUUAAAUCUAGUGCUCAGAAACUGUGCUCCAGUUUAUGUGAAAAGGGUCAACUGAAAUUACAUGAAAUGGCCUUCAUCUAAUUAUAUAGGAUAUUAAGUUAAUAAGGAAACUUUAGACAUAAUUUUCUGAAAACAUAAUCUAGAAUACUUUAUUAAGCUCAUAAGAUCUAGUGACCAGGCUUGCUUGCUUGCUUUUGUAAGAGUAGCCACCCAAUGUCUAUUUGUGGGGCAGUUUUCUCCAUUUUCUGAGGAAGGACUUACUGAUUUUUCUCUAAAUUAUCAGCUUCUGAAGAGAUUUUGCAGUUACCAGUGGAUUCAGACUGCAGUUUUAAGGGGUGCAGAGAGACAGUGCAGGGAGCCUGGCCUUGGAGGAAGCACAAAUAGGUCACUGGAGUGUCAGAGUUCUCAAGUUCACCUAAACAAAAUCAGCCCCAAAGAGCGUUCACCGUCCUAGAGGACAUUAAUACAGAUCUCAGAGCUCCUUACUGGAGUUCUGUGUCCAGAGAAAUCCUCCGUGGACUAGCAGCGGCAUCCUAUUUCCAUUCAAGACGUACUCCAGUGCAGACAUGUUGCUGACUGCACACGCGAGACAGGUCUCAGCCACUGUGACUUGCACUUCUACACAAUGUUAAAAUGAAACCCACUGACCAGUUGUGCUGUGUGCCUCUAGUCCCAGCGCUCGACAGGUAGAAGCAGGAGGAUCAGGGGUUAAAGGCUAUAUAUGGAGAUCAAGUAUAUGUAUAUGGAGCUUCAACUGUAUAUGGAGAUCAAGGCUAGCCUGGGCUAUAGGAGACCCUGCCUCAAAAAAAAAAAAAAAAAA